GUGGUGCAAAAGGUUAGCAUACUUUGCUGCAAACUGAGAGGUUGGUGGUUCAAGUCCACCC
rnacentral:tRNA from 1 species